rnacentral:rRNA from 1 species
CCUACGGGAGGCAGCAGUGAGGAAUAUUGGUCAAUGGCCGCAGGGCUGAACCAGCCAAGUCGCGUGAGGGAUGACGGUCCUAUGGAUUGUAAACCUCUUUUGUCAGGGAGCAAAGGGCGCCACGUGUGGCUUUUUGCGAGUACCUGACGAAAAAGCAUCGGCUAACUCCGUGCCAGCAGCCGCGGUAAUCCGGAGGAUGCGAGCGUUAUCCGGAUUUAUUGGGUGUAAAGGGUGCGCAGGCGGAAUGUCAAGUCAGCGGUAAAAUUUCGGGGCUCAACCCCGUCGGGCCGUUGAAACUGGAGUUAUGGAGUGAGCGAGAAGUAUGCGGAAUGCGUGGUGUAGCGGUGAAAUGCAUAGAUAUCACGCAGAACUCCGAUUGCGAAGGCAGCAUACCGGCGCUCAACUGACGCUCAUGCACGAAAGCGUGGGUAUCGAACAGGAUUAGAUACCCCUGUAGUC